AAAAUAGUAGCCUAGUGGACAUGGCAUUUGCCCGGUAAGCGGAACACUGUGGGUUCGAUUCCCACCCCUGGACACUUUUAUUUUU